UACGUAGGGUGCAAGCGUUGUCCGGAAUCACUGGGCGUAAAGGGCGCGUAGGCGGCCUGGUAAGUAGGGGGUGAAAUCCUGCGGCUUAACCGCAGGGCUGCCUUCUAAACUGUCAGGCUCGAGCACAGUAGAGGCAGGUGGAAUUCCCGGUGUAGCGGUGGAAUGCGUAGAGAUCGGGAAGAACAUCAGUGGCGAAGGCGGCCUGCUGGGCUGUUGCUGACGCUGAGGCGCGACAGCGUGGGGAGCAAACAGG
rnacentral:rRNA from 1 species